rnacentral:rRNA from 1 species
CAAGGAAUUUUCCCCAAUGGGCGCAAGCCUGAGGGAGCAACGCCGCGUGCAGGACGACGGCCUUCGGGUUGUAAACUGCUUUUGCGUGGGACGAUAACGACGGUACCACGCGAAUCAGCCCCGGCUAACUCUGUGCCAGUAGCCGCGGUAAUACAGAGGGGGCAAGCGUUGUCCGGACUUACUGGGCGUAAAGCGCACGCAGGUGGUAACGCAAGUGGGGUGUGAAAGCCGCCAGCUCAACUGGCGGAGGCCAUCCCAAACUGCGUCACUUGAGGCCUGUAGAGGUAUGUGGAAUUGCCGGUGUAGUGGUGAAAUGCGUAGAGAUCGGCAGGAACACCCAGGGGGAAGCCAGCAUACCGGAUCUGACGCUGAGGCGCGAAAGCGUGGGGAGCAAACAGG